rfam:Gorilla gorilla gorilla genomic chromosome, chr17, whole genome shotgun sequence
GCCGGGUGUGGUGGCACACGCCUGUAGUCCCAGCUACUCGGGAGGCUGAGACAGGAGAAUCGCUUGAACCCAGGAGACAGAGGUUGCAGUGAGCAGAGACCACGCCAUUGCACUCCAGCCUGGGUGACAAAGCGAUACUCUGUCUCAA